ensembl:lncRNA
GGGAAGGGAUGGCAUGAUUGCUUUUUUGAAAUAUUAAGAAAAUAAAAACAAUGUGCAUGGAGAAGCUGUGAUUUAUGAUCUGGGUCCACUGCUGGAUAAUCAAAAUUCAGGAAGCUGUGGCUUUUCCAUACAGGGCUGGAACACAGAGCACAGAGCCGUGCAGGUUCUCGGGGCAGCAUAGUGGAGGUGUGGGGCUCCUGUUGGCAGAGCCGCCAUUCUUUUCAUUCCUACCACAGAACCCAUUGGAUCUGACUUCGAUGAGUACCUGCGUAUUGAUUCUCUUUGCUGCCAGAGCGUGUUUCUCAUCUGAUUUCCUCCCAGCAGUUCUGACUCAACAAGUUUCUGCAGCCAUAGAGAGUCAGGCUCAAUAUUUUCCUGUGUGAUUAGAAAUUUUCCAGUCUCUGUACUCCUGGAGAAUUGCAGAAAGCUGAUCCCCAUACCUUCUGCGUUAACCCAAUAUGGUUUUGUUUCUGAAGGAGUAUGGAGUGGCCUCUGGAGCAGCUGUACAGCCACUGUCUGGGGUUGCUGCCCCUGCUGUGGGUAUGCCUUGCUGCAGCAGCACCCGGAUUUAGGGUAGGUGUGAGCGCUACCCGUAUCAGCACUCCAAUUAAAGUCAGGCACAAGUAGGAGGCUGCAGCACACAGGCCUCUCAGUAAGGAUGCUGAAUGAACUUCCCAAAGUCAAUGAAGUUUGAUUUUUUUUUUUUGAACUUCAAAAUCACUGUAUUUCAGGAUAAUGGAAAUCAUAUUCAGCAUUCCGAAUAAUUUGCAUCUUACUAUCUUGCAGAGAAAACAUUUGAUAAGCAAACAGAAGAGCAAGUUAUUAUAGGCAAAGAGGCAGGGAAAAGUGAUUUGGGAAAAGCACUCCUCCUUCCCCCAGACUGUUCCAUUUCUUCCAUUCUGAAAUGGAAAAACAGAGAUUCGUUUGUAUAGUACAUAGUAAUUACAAAGUGACUAUUCUAUAAAUCUGGUGGAUUUUUUCAUUAUUUAAAUGGGGCCUUUCACAAAGGAGAUUUGAGCCCGUGUGUGAGCUUUCUGUUUCAGCUUCAAAUUUUCCUUUGGAAAAAAAAAAGGUCUGUGUUGUUUUUUUUUUUUUUUUUUUUUUUUUAGGGCUAGGUGUUUUAUAUGGUUAAGUUAAAACAUGCCUGGAGAGGCUGUAGUUAUUCUUCUGUAUGAAAACAAAUGCACUUAUUUUUUUUUUUUUCAACAUUUAGCAUACACUCCUUUAAAAAUAUCAUUUAUUCCUAGUGUAUUCUGUUUUUGAAUCUCCUACCACCUAUGAUUUCUUUGAAUGGGUGAAUUCUAGCGUGCACAUUCGUUGCCUCCUCUUCCUCGCAGGGGGGUUGGAGCUUGAUGGCCCUUGAGGUCCCUUCCAACCCAAGCCAUUCUAUGAUUCUGUGUUGCUGUAAAUCAGUUAUGGGGCUGACACACCAUUUGGCCGUGCUGCAAAUGUUCCGUAAUAAUGCAACUCAGUAAAAUGUGGAAUUUGUGAGGUACUGCCUGUAACAUUGUCAACGCUGUUGUAAAUUCCCAGCCACGUCAGCACAGGUGGAAGGAAAGCCAUAAAUAAACUGUGUGCGCGUGCAAAUGUGUGAGUGCA